AAUGAAACUCUUAUUACUAAUAGUAACAAAAUCAAAACCAAACACACCAAAAAUUGGUGGUCUGGUCGACAGAAGCAGAGAAAAGGGGCGAACCCCAUAUCCAAAACCCUAACAUCACCAUUUCUUGCAAAUUGAAGGCUCAAAUCCUAACCAAAACAAAAUCCGAGCUUAGAAUCGUGUUCCUCAUCGCGAGAGGGUCUAGAGGCAAAGAGUCCGGUUCCUCUAGCGGACAAGCCGAGGGGAAAUCACGAGGAAAAGGCGCGCUCUAAAGGCAAAGAGUCCGGUUCCUCUAGCGGACAAGCCGAGGGGAAAUCACGAGGAAAAGGCGCGCUCUAAAGUUCUCAGGUACCAAGAAAAAGGAUGAAGAUCAAGCAAAUGAAUCGAACCGAACACACACAUUUU